GUUACCUAAGACAAAAUAAAAUAAAAUAAAAUGGGGAGGGAGGGAGGGAAUCCUGGUAUAUAAAGCAUAACAAAGGAGCUGAAGAAUCCUCUAUUGGGAGAACGGUUCUUUCUGAACUUCCAGAAGAUCAUCACAGCAAAAUGUAAAGCAUCACAGCAAAUCCAUAUGCAUAUGCUGACGAAAUGGGAAAAUCAGAAGAGGAAGAUGAAGAAUUUGUCAUGGGCCAGAUAAUGUUUGUCAUGGCCUCGUAGGGUAGUUCUUUUCAUGGUGGGGAUAUAAACUGAACCUGCAGUUAUGUGUUGAAAGGACCUUCUGCUACUGGACUUAGGGGUCGUUUGGCAUCAUCCUGGAAUCUCCUUUAAUUUGUUUUUUGGAACCUAUUAAAGUUUUGAAAGGAGCCUUCAAGUACUCCUGCAGCUGGUUAAAGAGAAAGGACUUUUAUGCAGAGUAGGCCCUGCCCUGAGGAUUACUUUCAUAUCAGAAGAAAAGCAUAGAGCCAUAAAACUAUGAGGACCUUUUUGUCAUUUCCUAAACUUCAUUGUGUUGGUUUUGUGAAGUCUGAUUUUGCUUUUGAAUUGCUAAUUCACUGACUAUCUACAAUUUCGACCUAAGGUGUAAAUACCAUGCUAUGUGCAGCCGAAGUAUUCUGUACCUUUUUUUAAAAAAAAUCGGUGCAUAGUGAAAACUAGUUUGAGUCAUGAAUGUACUCAGUACACAACUAGAGAACAUCAUAAAAAUUAUAUCGUUUACGUUUGCGUUCUUUUUGUAAUUGUUCUUCGCGCGCAUUGUGUGUGUGUCGUGGUUUGGCGGAUUUCUCAGCACAUUGUAUACUCGAGAGGAAGGCUUUCACCCCUUGAUUCUGUGUCUUUGUAUUAUGGUACCAAAGCCCCUGAAGGAUACUUCUCAGAGCAUGUAGUUUCUGUUAUUUACAUCAUUUUGAUGUCUAAUUCCAUACAAAUUAGAGUCGUUCUCCUUCGUAUUUUAGACA